UACAGAGGGGGCAAGCGUUGUCCGGAUUUACUGGGCGUAAAGAGCGCGCAGGCGGUCGGAUAAGUCGAAUGUGAAAGCCCCUGGCUCAACUGGGGAGGGUCAUUCGAUACUGUUCGACUCGAAGGCAGGAGAGGGAAGUGGAAUUCCCGGUGUAGUGGUGAAAUGCGUAGAUAUCGGGGAGGAACACCAGUGGCGAAGGCGACUUCCUGGCCUGUUCUUGACGCUGAGGCGCGAAAGCUAGGGGAGCAAACGGG
rnacentral:rRNA from 1 species